rnacentral:lncRNA from 1 species
GCACACUAUGUAACUAAUAUUAUUUAAGAUGAAAAUAGAUCUAGUUGAGCGACAAAGGCUGUUUAGAGCCUCUUGUUUACUUUCAUGCUGUUUCAUAAUUUGAGCUGUUCCUCAAUUUAAGAAGGCAUGUCGAUGGAUUUGAUGCAUCAAACAUAAUCCAACUUUACUGAACACUUUUCUUUUUUUAAAACGUCCUUAUAACAGCAGUCGUUAAUGUUCUGGUGUAUUUAGAGAGCAAUGGCCUAGUAAGAAAACAGUGGUUUGUCUUUGCUAAUAGUUAUCAAAGGUACCAGGCUUACAGUUUAAUAUGCUAGACGCACGUUUCGUCUUCAUAAGACUCAUCAGUGACGCUCAUAUCAAAAUAGUUAUAGAGCCAAACAAGUACAAAGUUGAAUUGUGUGCAAAUGUGCUAUCUGCGUUUUUUAUGAUCUACUUAGAAAUUUUUCUUUUAGGUCUUUUUUUGGGGAAUAUGACCGAAUGGUAAAUGUCAAUGUAAUCCACAACAACACCAAAAUUGACUUCUGAUCAGCACAUGGAAGGUCGCUCGAUUUAUUUUCUCGCAUUUCCCUACGGCUAAGUUUUGACCAACAGGGGAUAAAUAGUAAGCUAUUGUCCCGUUUUUAACUCACGAAAUACACCAAGUCUUCAGCGGCGACACAAAGUCUAAGUCACUUUCAAAAAUGGGUAAAAUCAUAAUUUCACGUAAUUUUGUACAAUUCCAAUGAGCAAAUUUUUUUCCCGGUUUUGUGAAAAUUGUCCUUAUCUUAAAUUAGAUUGAAUUUUAGGGUGGAACAUUUAAACUGAGAUGAAGUUUAAAAUACAUUGAAAUGAAAGCUAUUUAUAAUCUCAUAUCUAAC